rnacentral:rRNA from 1 species
CCUACGGGAGGCUGCAGUGGGGAAUAUUGGACAAUGGGGGGAACCCUGAUCCAGCCAUGCCGCGUGUGUGAAGAAGGCCCUCGGGUUGUAAAGCACUUUCAGUGAGGAAGAACGCCUGGUGGUUAAUACCCAUCAGGAAAGACAUCACUCACAGAAGAAGCACCGGCUAACUCCGUGCCAGCAGCCGCGGUAAUACGGAGGGUGCGAGCGUUAAUCGGAAUUACUGGGCGUAAAGCGCGCGUAGGUGGCUUGAUAAGCCGGUUGUGAAAGCCCCGGGCUCAACCUGGGAACGGCAUCCGGAACUGUCAAGCUAGAGUGCAGGAGAGGAAGGUAGAAUUCCCGGUGUAGCGGUGAAAUGCGUAGAGAUCGGGAGGAAUACCAGUGGCGAAGGCGGCCUACUGGACUGACACUGACACUGAGGUGCGAAAGCGUGGGUAGCAAACAGGAUUAGAUACCCGUGUAGUC